GAUGAAGAACGUAGCGAAAUGCGAUAAGUAAUGUGAAUUGCAGAAUUCAGUGAAUCAUCGAAUCUCUGAACGCACCUUGCGCCCUUUGGCCAUUCCGAAGGGCAUGCCUGUUUGAGUAUCAUGAACACCUCAACUCUUUAUGGUUUUCCAUGAUGAGCUUGGACUCUGGGGGUUUUGCUGGCUCACAGUCGGCUCCUCUAAAAUGAAUCAGCUUACCAGUGUUUGGUGGGUAUCAUGGGUGUGAUAACUAUCUACGCUUGUGGUUUUUCCACCAGGUAACCUUCAGCAGUGGAGGUUCGCUGGAGCUCAUAGAUGUCUCUCCUCAGUGAGGACAGCCCUUUGAAUGUUUGAUCUCAAAUCAGGUAGGACUACCCGCUGAACUUAAGCAUAUCAAUAAGCGGAGGA
rnacentral:misc_RNA from 1 species